AUCGGUAAAUUCAGUUUAAAUGAGAAUUGAUGUGCUUCGUCUCUCAGAGAAUUAUCCCGUACGGUUCACAGAAACGAGCGUCUCAGACGACACAUUUGGACGACACCAAUUUUGACACCACAGUAGUGGCAAUGGAAAGUAAUGCAGAUACUCUUGAAGAUAUAACAGAUAAUAAGCAGGGCAUGAACGAAGUAUGGAGGAUCUGUUUGAAAAUUCCAGACAUGAGAAAGAAAAUGACAGGGAGAGAUGUCCAGUUCAACGUUACCAGGAUAAUUCAGCAAAGUUCCAACAGAUAUAAAAAAUCUGAAUUUGAGGCAAAUAUAUACUGUCAUGUAUAUAUAUACACAUGAUAUAAGAUGGAUAAAGUACAUGAUACUUUAGCAGUGCUUCAGAGAAUCACAUUUGGCUACAGAAGUUUGUAGUAUUUUGGUUGUAAUCAAGUUAUUAAGCUGAAGCUUCAUAGUAAAACAGAUCUAGGCUACACCUUCACUAUUCAAGUCAGACUUUAAAAGGAAGCCUUUUUUGUUGAUAGCUGAACAUAUGAAGAAACUUUCAAAAGAGUGGAGCAUUUAGAAGACGGAACAAUCAAAUAUUAUUUGUUACUAUUUCAGUAACUUUUCAAAUGUUAACUGUUUAGAAUAUUCUUAAAUAUAAAUAUAAUUGAAUUUAAUGUGGAAAGUGUUUUGUUUUUUUUAACAUUUGGUAACAUAUGCCUCUGUUAGGGACAAUUUUUUAAUCAUAAGCUGAUUAUUUUUAGAUUUGUCAUGGUAAACCUGCAAGGGACACAACUCUUGAAGAAUGAACAUUGUAAAAUAGCUAGUCUGUAUUGAAUUGUUGUUUGGUAUACAUUUGGUUUUGCAUUAUUUGUUGUGCAAUUUCGAAUUCGACUUCUUUUCAAACAUUGUAUAAAUUUAAAAUGUAGCUGACUUUGACAUUGGUAUUCAUACUUUUAGAUUUUUUAUGAAUUGUCAAACAAACGCGAUUAUAAAGCAAGAAUUUCAAACAAACAAAAAAAGAAAUACUAACAGGAAGAUUCGAAAGGUUU